rnacentral:rRNA from 1 species
UACGUAGGGAGCAAGCGUUGUCCGGAAUCAUUGGGCGUAAAGCGCGCGUAAGUGGCUUCGUAAGUCCGUUGUGAAAGUCAAAGGCUCAACCUUUGAAAGCCGAUGGAUACUGUGAAGCUAGAGUACGGAAGAGGCGAGUGGAAUUCCUGGUGUAGCGGUGGAAUGCGCAGAUAUCAGGAGGAACACCAAUAGCGAAGGCAGCUCGCUGGGACGUUACUGACACUGAGGCGCGAAAGCGUGGGGAGCGAACAGG